AAAACGGGUGCUGGUUUUCAGUCAGCAACGGCAAGCGUGAAUUCACUCACAAAGUUUCUCUCUUAUUUGAGAGAUGCUGUGCUGUUAGGAUACCGCUCAGAAUAACAUUCGAUCAGAAUCUCGCCCUCAAAUGUCAAUACAUUAGGCUGGAGCUACAAGAGCGCGGGUAACCACUCGUACCGCAAACGUACAAUAGAAGUUAAUUCUCUGUUGAGCGCUGCGAGUGACAUAGUCUGUAACAUUUCCUUAAGUCAGUGACCAUGACCUUGGGAUGCAUACCAGUUAAAAAUAAGGUUUUACAAAUGCUUGGAAAUGCUAAGUGUUUCCCAUUACGUGGUUCAUUCAAAGCACUUAAUGACUUCUCAAGUCCAUGUCAGUAGCUAUAUGAGACCAAAAAAUCCUCAUGGAGUCAUCUGGGAAAACGCAGAAGAAAAAAGCACAUCUGUCUUGUUUUAGCUUCCAACCUUGGAUCUGGAUUUUCUAAUUCUUCUUUUUCUGGGAAGGAAGGGGAAAAAAAGAAAGAAGAGUUUCUGCAGAAGCAUACAUCUCCUUCAGAACAGAAGCGUGUGCCCACUUGUGCAUACGCCUUUUUAUCAGUGUCCAGGUAUAAAAAUGACAAGAGGUAAGAAAAAGAUCUGCGGCCAUUUCUUUCUGCCUUCUGUGAUCUGCUGUCUGGCUUGGACCGUGCUUUGCAGCCUUGGAAAAAGACCAAAGAGGUGCCAAAGGAAAAAUAUAUGAAAAUGCAAGGUGUUGUUAUAGGCACCGUGAAGUGGAUCUGAAACAAAAACAUAGAAAGGCUAACAUUGCAGUGAAGUGUUCAGAAUUAGUUUCCUCGUUUACGCUGGGGUGGAUUCAGAGGAACUUGUAAUUACCAGUUUCCCCAGCAGUGAGACGCGAGGAAAUCCUAACAGCGUUGGAGUAAAGGACGAAAUUAUUGCAGACCGCAACUCCUUUACCAGUGGUUUCUCAAGGACGAGGGAAGGGCAUGUUCAUCACACCACGGGCCUUGUGCUUCCCUCUGCUGUGCGACCAAGAGAAAAGCACGGGCGUGCAGAAACCGUUUCCCGAGAUCCCGAUCGUCUGAAACGGUACUGUGGGCCUCUCUGGAGUGUAUGGCCCUAGCAUCAAUACUGUUUAUAAGACAAAUCUUAUAAAAAGGUCCAUUUUAGACAGAUGAGACAUUUUGUACUGAAAAAAAAAUUUUUGACUUUGUACAAUUAAAUAGUAUUCACA